rnacentral:rRNA from 1 species
UACGUAGGUGGCAAGCGUUGUCCGGAUUUACUGGGCGUAAAGAGCGCGCAGGCGGUCUUUCAAGUCGAGUGUGAAAGCCCCCGGCUCAACUGGGGAGGGUCACUCGAUACUGAUCGACUCGAAGGCAGGAGAGGGAAGUGGAAUUCCCGGUGUAGUGGUGAAAUGCGUAGAUAUCGGGAGGAACACCAGUGGCGAAGGCGACUUCCUGGCCUGUUCUUGACGCUGAGGCGCGAAAGCUAGGGGAGCAAACGGG